GAUGAAGAACGUAGCGAAAUGCGAUACGUAAUGUGAAUUGCAGAAUUCAGUGAAUCAUCGAGUCUUUGAACGCACAUUGCGCCCCCUGGUAUUCCGGGGGGCAUGCCUGUCCGAGCGUCAUUGCUGCCCUCAAGCACGGCUUGUGUGUUGGGCCUCCGUCCUCCUCCCGCGGGACGGGCCCGAAAGGCAGCGGCGGCACCGCGUCCGGUCCUCGAGCGUAUGGGGCUUCGUCACCCGCUCUUGUAGGCCCGGCCGGCGCUUGCCGACACAUCAAUCUUUUUUCCAGGUUGACCUCGGAUCAGGUAGGGAUACCCGCUGAACUUAAGCAUAUCAAUAAGCGGAGGA
rnacentral:misc_RNA from 1 species